UCGAUAUGGUACAUGUAGAGCUGGGUAGCUUGACUGGGUCUUAGCCAUAUUCAUGCACAAUGGACUUGCCACAUGUCAGAUCAAGAGUGACAAAGUGCGGAUAGAAAUAUCUCUAACAUAGCAUAAUUAUAAAUAUCACAAAUUUUGGAACUGAAUAAAAGGAUGUCACCAGACAGCUCAUACCAGUGGCUUAAUCGAGCAAGAUCACUUUUUUGACAGGGUUCUGUAUAGGUUCAACGAAUAUCAGGUCAACACCUGGCAUGGAGGAGCUGAGACCUGGAACAAAGCAAGAUUAUGAUAUCUUUAAGUCCAUAUUGCAGAAAGUGACUAGUUUACACAUCAGAUUAGUCCCAUUCCACAUCAUUCACAAGUCCAAGCCCAUCACCUGGGCC
rnacentral:lncRNA from 1 species